rnacentral:rRNA from 1 species
CGGAAUUACUGGGAGUAAAGCGCGCGUAGGCGGACCUGCAAGUCGGGGGUGAAAGCCCGAGGCUCAACCUCGGAACUGCCUUCGAUACUGCGGGUCUCGAGUCCGGGAGAGGUGAGUGGAAUUCCUAGUGUAGAGGUGAAAUUCGUAGAUAUUAGGAAGAACACCAGUGGCGAAGGCGGCUCACUGGCCCGGUACUGACGCUGAGGCGCGAAAGCGUGGGGAGCAAACAGG